rnacentral:rRNA from 1 species
CAGGAUGAACGCUAGCGGCAGGCUUAACACAUGCAAGUCGAGGGGCAGCGCGGGGCAGCAAUGUUCUGGCGGCGACCGGCGGAAGGGUGCGUAACGCGUGAGCGACAUGCCCGUUGCCCGGGGACAACCGGUGGAAACGCCGACUAAUCCCCGAUGGGACGGAGGCCCUCAUGGGUCUCCGUUGAAAGUUACGGCGGCGACGGAUUGGCUCGCGUCCGAUUAGCUUGUUGGCGGGGUAACGGCCCACCAAGGCUACGAUCGGUAGGGGUUCUGAGAGGAAGGUCCCCCACAAUGGAACUGAGACACGGUCCAUACUCCUACGGGAGGCAGCAGUGAGGAAUAUUGGUCAAUGGGCGGAAGCCUGAACCAGCCAUGCCGCGUGCGGGAAGGAGGCCCUAUGGGCUGUGAACCGCUUUUGCCUGGGGGCAAUAAGGGCGUCGUGCACGUCCGAUGAGAGUACCAGGCGAAUAAGCAUCGGCUAACUCCGUGCCAGCAGCCGCGGUAAUACGGGGGAUGCGAGCGUUAUCCGGAUUCAUUGGGUUU